rnacentral:lncRNA from 1 species
CCCCACCACACCCCCCACCCCGGACCCUGGGUGGGUACUAAGCUCUGAACACAUUAGUCCUCCAGCACCUUCCUCUGAUAGCUUUUGGAACCAGGCUCUGCAGCUUGGCUGCUGAAUUGUCAGCAAGCACACAUAAGUUGGAGCAAGCCCACCUGGUUCCCAGCACGAGGCCCCCACCUGCCUUCCUAGCUUUACCAGAGAGGACAAGAAAGAGCAGGGACUCCGGUCCACGGAAGAUACCACCCACGUUCAGGACGAGUAUCCUUCCUCAGCUGUGGGAGGUGUUCGUCAUCGGUGCCCCGCCCACUCUACACACGAGGAUCUGAGGGUUCCAGACUCCCAAACACACGUGCUAACAUGACGAAGCUGCAGCCUGGGAAGCAGGUUUGUAGACAAUCCAACUCGGAGCCCAACAACCAAGAUUUAACUAAGCAAGUCCUCUUCCAACCAAAAAAAAAAAAAAAAAGUUGAUUUCUUCUGAGUCUUAAAUUUUUUUUAAAGUCGUCACAAAAGUAAGUCAGCUGUUCUUUGAGAGAAUAGCAGUCCUUGUCCAGUUGCUAUUCCCCUUGGUGAGUAUUACUGCUGUGUUGCUCUGAGGCUUUCUUCCCAAGUCCACGGUGAACAAGAGGCAGACCUUCUCCGUCCUCGUCCACAUGCUACACAACUGCACACUGGAGGAGCCCAGUAAGCGCCAAAGGCAAGUCAGCUCUCAGAUGGAGAAACGGCCCUUGAACAGUUGGCAGUACACCAAGAAGAAGGUGUGUGGUUUGGAUAUUGAGUUGUCCUAUCUACAUCAUGUAGCUAGCUCUCAUUGAGCAGUGCCAACCAAGCACCCGGGAUCGAGUUUGAUGUUUAGUCCCCAGAAGACACCAGGAAAGAAAGUUGGUUACAAGGACCUUCUGUGUGCUUCCGCUGUGGCUGCUGUUACCCUGGUCUAAUGGAGGCCUGCCCCAAGAGCCUGGGAUCCAUCAAGUCGGUCAUCCUCUUCUCAUCCCUAAGCCCACCCUGGCAACCUUGCCUCAUUCCCACAUCCAAUCUGUUCCUUACCUGGUCCUUGUCCACCCUGGACUUGUAAGAUACAGCCAGACAAUAGAAAACAGAAUUCAGGCACACACAUGGGGACAAAAAAAAUUAUGAAAAUG